rnacentral:rRNA from 1 species
CAGCCGCCGCGGGAAAACGAAGGGGGCUAGCGUUGCUCGGAAUUACUGGGCGUAAAGGGAGCGUAGGCGGACAUUUAAGUCAGGGGUGAAAUCCCAGAGCUCAACUCUGGAACUGCCUUUGAUACUGGGUGUCUUGAGUGUGAUAGAGGUAUGUGGAACUCCGAGUGUAGAGGUGAAAUUCGUAGAUAUUCGGAAGAACACCAGUGGCGAAGGCGACAUACUGGAUCAUUACUGACGCUGAGGCUCGAAAGCGUGGGGAGCAAACAGGAUUAGAUACCCCUGUAGUCCCUGUCUCUUAUAU